rnacentral:rRNA from 1 species
UACGUAGGGGGCGAGCGUUGUCCGGAUUUAUUGGGCGUAAAGAGCGUGUAGGCGGUUCGGUAAGUCUGUCGUGAAAUCCUGAGGCUCAACCUCGGGCGUGCGAUGGAUACUGCCGGGCUAGAGGGUGGUAGAGGCGAGUGGAAUUCCCGGUGUAGCGGUGAAAUGCGCAGAUAUCAGGAGGAACACCGGUGGCGAAGGCGGGUCUCUGGGCCGAUACUGACGCUGAGGAGCGAAAGCGUGGGGAGCGAACAGG